rnacentral:rRNA from 1 species
GAUGAACGCUGGCGGCGUGCCUAACACAUGCAAGUCGAGCGAUCUUCUUCGGAAGAGAGCGGCGGACGGGUGAGUAACGCGUGGGUAACCUGCCCUGUACACACGGAUAACAUACCGAAAGGUAUGCUAAUACGAGAUAAUAUACUUUUAUCGCAUGGUAGAAGUAUCAAAGCUCCGGCGGUACAGGAUGGACCCGCGUCUGAUUAGCUAGUUGGUAAGGUAACGGCUUACCAAGGCGACGAUCAGUAGCCGACCUGAGAGGGUGAUCGGCCACAUUGGAACUGAGACACGGUCCAAACUCCUACGGGAGGCUG